GAUGAACACUAGCGGCAGGCCUAAUACAUGCAAGUCGGACGGGAUUUGGGAGCUUGCUCCCAAUGAGAGUGGCGCACGGGUGCGUAACACGUAUGUAACCUACCUUAAUCAGGGGGAUAGCCUCUCGAAAGAGAGAUUAACACCGCAUAACAUCAUGGAAUAGCAUUAUUUUAUGAUCAAAUAUUUAUAGGAUUAAGAUGGGCAUGCGGGACAUUAGCUAGUUGGCGGGGUAACGGCCCACCAAGGCGACGAUGUCUAGGGGAUCUGAGAGGAUGGCCCCCCACACUGGAACUGAGACACGGACCAGACUCCUACGGGAGGCAGCAGUAAGGAAUAUUGGUCAAUGGGCGCAAGCCUGAACCAGCCAUGCCGCGUGCAGGAAGACGGCCCUACGGGUUGUAAACUGCUUUUGUACGGGAAUAAACCUCUCUACGUGUAGAGAGCUGAAUGUACUGUAAGAAUAAGGAUCGGCUAACUCCGUGCCAGCAGCCGCAGUAAAAC
rnacentral:rRNA from 1 species